GCCCAAUGUAAACCGCAGUGUUAGCCCGGCUAAAAGACGUCGAAACGACUGUCCAAACCGACCGUCCGGAGGCUCUCGAGGAGGUGCGGGGGGAUCUAGUUCUCCUCAAGUCUGCUGCCGAGUCUGCGGGGCUGCCUUUGCGAGUGACAGUGCCAUGUACGGUCACAUGCGCCAUUGCAAGCCCG
rnacentral:ribozyme from 1 species